UGAGUAGGUAAAAACGAUCGCACCGAUUUUCGGUGAGGAAAGUCCGAGCUCCAUAGGGCAAGGGUGCCGGGUAAUACCCGGUGGAGGCGACUCUAAGGAAAGUGCAACAGAAAUAAACCGCCCGCUGAAAAAGCGUGGUAAGGAUGGAAAGGUGAGGUAAGAGCUCACCGCCUCUCCGGUAACGGUGAGGGCAUAUGUAAACCCCACUCGGAGCAAGACCAAACAAACCUUAGGUGGCCCGCCAGGUUUAGGUAGGUCGCUAGAUUUUACCGGUGACGGUAAAGCCAGACAGAUGAUCGUUCAUGACAGAACUCGGCUUAUCCGCCUGCUCAUAAU
rnacentral:RNase_P_RNA from 1 species